rnacentral:rRNA from 1 species
UACGUAGGGUGCGAGCGUUAAUCGGAAUUACUGGGCGUAAAGCGUGCGCAGGCGGUUUUGUAAGCCAGAUGUGAAAUCCCCGGGCUUAACCUGGGAAUGGCAUUUGGGACUGCAAGGCUUGAGUGCGGCAGAGGAGACUGGAAUUCCUGGUGUAGCAGUGAAAUGCGUAGAUAUCAGGAGGAACACCGAUGGCGAAGGCAGCACUCUGGGACGGUACUGACGCUGAGACGCGAAAGCGUGGGGAGCAAACAGG